AACGUUUGAUGAGGCAGCUUUCACGUUCAAAUCAAUAACAAUAUCAACAUGUAGAGGUGACACCCUGAAAAACAUGAUUCCGAAGAGCGUUGGCCAGUGUCAGGGCUGAACCAGGACGAGUCACAAGAGAUAUGAUUUAACGAGUGUCCCACGAUAAUUCGCCAUUUUGAAACCGUGAGGGGCUUUGAGACGAAAAUAACCACCAGCUGCUGGUACACUUUAUGAUACAUACACCACCUAUUACAGUGGCCCAUCAUUAUGGCGGAAAGAACGCAUUUUAAUUUUAUCACAUUUUGUAAAAAGGAGCAAGUAUAUUUCUCGGCGCUGACAUUGAUUCUUCCGUAGCUCUUUGCUUUUGUUACAACGAGCAUAUCAGACUUUCCCGGAGAAUUGUGAUCGUGUGGUAUUUUUGUAUUUAAUUUUUUUAAUUCACACCGAUCUAUUUUCGAUAUUCCUUAUUUUUUUUAGGAAGCCCAAAGUCACGAGGAGGAUCCCCCAGCUACUGCUGGUCGUGCAAGAAAAAGAGAGUCCUUUUUUUGAGGCGUUUGAGACAGACUCAAGCAAGCGCAACCAGAUGGAUAGACAGUACAUGAAGUCUAUGCAAACAAAAAUGCAAGAAUGGUA